GCCGGCGUGGCGGAAUGGCAGACGCAGUAGACUCAAAAUCUACCGAGGGCAACCUUGUAAGGGUUCAAGUCCCUUCGCCGGCA
rnacentral:tRNA from 1 species